rnacentral:lncRNA from 1 species
CAACAGAGCCACCCAGGCGCCCCCACACUGGCAAUUUCUAAAUGCUGCCCAAGCAUUUAGAUGUUUUCUUUUCAAGAAGGAAGAAUGUUUGCCUAAUAAAAAAAAUUUUUUUUAAUUCCACCACGACCUAGUAGUCUCAGGGUCAGUUAACCUUGAUGGGAGAAUUACCCAGAAGCUUUGUUCUCGGUUCACAGGUGGUGGGCUCUGAACAGCCGGAAUGGAUGUGCAGGCACCUGGCAAGCAAACAAACCUUCCAUCUUGGUCCUGGCCCAGCUCUGCUUUCUCUCAGCCCAGGAGAGCGUGCCUUCAGCACAGACCAGCGCCAAGAGGGAGACGGGACUGCUGAGAGCUGGAAACGGGGUGUGUACAUCGAAGUUGGGAUACGGGGGGAGGGGCAUCGCCAGUCUGCUAAAAGCUG